rnacentral:rRNA from 1 species
UACGUAGGUGGCAAGCGUUGUCCGGAAUUACUGGGCGUAAAGCGUGCGCAGGCGGUUCGCUAAGACAGAUGUGAAAUCCCCGGGCUUAACCUGGGAACUGCAUUUGUGACUGGCGGGCUAGAGUAUGGCAGAGGGGGGUAGAAUUCCACGUGUAGCAGUGAAAUGCGUAGAGAUGUGGAGGAAUACCGAUGGCGAAGGCAGCCUCCUGGGCCAACACUGACGCUCAUGCACGAAAGCGUGGGGAGCAAACAGG